AUAAUACUCCCUCCGUCCGGAAAUAUUUGUCCUCGAAAUGGUUGUAUCUAGACUUAUUUUAGUUAUAGAUACAUUUAUUUUAUCCAUUUUUACGACAAGUAUUUUCAGACGGAGGGAAUAUGUU
rnacentral:pre_miRNA from 1 species